rnacentral:lncRNA from 1 species
AGCCAGGCAGCUGAGUCCUCAAGGAGAAAAAAUGAAUUUGAUGCCCUCAGCCAUUACUUGGUCUGAUUAGAGGGCAUGGGUAUGGCUGAUCUGUAUGCAUAGAUAAAUACUCACAAUUGUGAAAGGAGGUGUAACAGGUUUUUUUUCUAAGCUACAUCUUAAAGGGUUAAUCUUCAGAUGCUCUAAACUGAUUCCUUGCAAGUAAAUAGUGUAGUGAUCAAAUUGAGCAGCCUUUGGAGAAUAUGAAAGUGUAUUUUUUCGAUUUUUUUUCAGAUUUUAUUAGAAAAAUCUCAGAGAAGGAAGGUGUCAAUGUACUGCCCCUCGUCAGCCUGCAGUGUGCUCGGAAACGGCCUGCUAAGCAAAUAGGAAACUAUCUCUGAAGCAGAGGACCUGGGAAUAAGGUCAGUGUCGAAGUGUGAAUUCAGCAUUGCUCUCCUUUGGCAUUCUGAGCUGUACUUACACUGCCACUGAAUUACCAUCUCCAUCUUUCUAGUGCCAGGUAAUGGUUUAGAUAUUAUCUCGAAAUGACAUUUUCAAGAGGUCUCACAGCUAAGAAAAUGGCACUAAUGUCCUGGGAAGACUUCUCAAGCCUCUGACUGGCAGUGUUUUACUACCUUAUUUCAGCCUAACUCAUUACCAUUAUCACUUGGAGAAUCUUAGACAGUAUGGUCCAUGGGAUCUCUGCAUGCUGAGGGUGAAGGGGUAGGAGCAUGUUAGCUGGUGGUGCUUCAGUCAGUGUUUUACCAGAGUUCCAAACUGCCAUUUCUUUCAAGCCGUGCAUUCUAGAAAAUACUAAAUCACAUGUGUCACUUUUUUUUUUUUUAAUGCACUAAGCUAGUUAUACCUAGUGCCUUGGGAGAGAAGCUCUGUAAUGGUUAUGCUGUAAGAGAAAAUGAAUCCCCUAUUGUUAGUCUUUCUUUUUUAAUAGUUCAGUGAGACACUGCACCUCAUUUAGCCAAGAAAAGCAGCAAUGGAUGUGGCAGAGCAAGAAAAAGUCAGCACUUCCCUGAUCUCAUGUACAUUCAUUAUAAAAUCAAUACAAAUGUAAGUGCUGUGGAACAAGGAUGAAGCAAUCUGAGGAGUGUAGUUCUUCUACAUUUGUAUUUUAAUGACAACCUUUUUGCAGUAGCUUUAAUAUAGGUCCAUCCCAAAAUAGACCCCUAGAAUAGCCAUUGUUACAGAAAUCAUUUCACCCAGAGGAAGGAGAGGGUUUAAAAUACCUACAAUGCAGAGUUCAUAACAGAGCAAAUGCUGACUCUACUAUAAAAUGCCAGGUAACUUUGGUAACUAUAAUAAGCAGAAUUUAUUUAGGGACAAUGAAAGGCAAAUAUUAACCUUGACAAAUGGGGUGUCAGAAAGACAGGAUUUAACACAGAAUUGAAAUGAUAAAAUGCUGAU